GAACGCUGGCGGCAUGCCUUACACAUGCAAGUCGAACGGCAGCGCGGGGCAACCUGGCGGCGAGUGGCGAACGGGUGAGUAAUAUAUCGGAACGUACCCUGGAGUGGGGGAUAACGUAGCGAAAGUUACGCUAAUACCGCAUACGAUCUAAGGAUGAAAUGGGGGAUCGCAAGACCUCAUGCUCCUGGAGCGGCCGAUAUCUGAUUAGCUAGUUGGUGGGGUAAAGGCCUACCAAGGCAUCGAUCAGUAGCUGGUCUGAGAGGACGACCAGCCACACUGGAACUGAGACACGGUCCAGACUCCUACGGGAGGCAGCAGUGAGGAAUAUUGGUCAAUGGACGAGAGUCUGAACCAGCCAAGUCGCGUGCAGGAAGAAUGUCCUAAUGGAUUGUAAACUGCUUUUGCAGGGGAAUAAAGUGCAUCACGUGUGAUGUUUUGUAUGUACUCUGCGAAUAAGGAUCGGCUAACUCCGUGCCAGCCGCAGC
rnacentral:rRNA from 1 species